GCCAGUAUGGUGGCUAUGACCCUCGGCUUGUAACCGAGUGGGUUUGGGUUCGAAUCCCAAGUAAGACA
rnacentral:tRNA from 1 species